GUUAUCACUGAGAAUUUGUUACAAACUUUAUCAUCAAGAAACUUAAAGUAGCCUACAUGAGGAAAAGGGUUCGUAUUUACAUCUGGAUGGAAAUGAAGCUACGCGGAAUUGAACCCAAAGACCAAAGUAGGCUAUAUAACUUACUAAAUUUAAAUUUUGUAAGAUUUGCCGAAUAGACAGUUUUAAUUUGUCUGUCACUGCUUCUGGAUUGUGGAAUUGACAGACGUCCGUCAACGGGGCUCAAACGCUGAGGAUCCACACCCAUAUCCCGAUGGCAGUUCGUGAUAGGUGCUGCCCAAGAGAGGCAUGGUAAAGCAAAGGGAGGGCGGUGGGACCCCGAGGCAUGGCGAGGAUGGGGUGCCACCUAAAGAAGAAAGUGACAGUCCAAAUGUCCCGCCCGCUGCUGUGGUGGUGCUGCUAUUCACCCCAGAGGAAGUGGAUAUGGACGAGCUGCCCAGGAGCGAGCUGUUGCCCGGGUGUGAGUGAACCAGCGCCGGGUUGGGUGGAGGCGCAGGCACAGAUAAAAGCCGCCCCUGUUCAAGCAGCCGCAAGAUGUUGCAUGUGGCAAGCGAUUCGGUAGUGGAUGACGACCGUUUGUCAGUGUCCUUGGUCUGGUCCUUCUUCUGUUUGGUGCGGCGGUUUUGAAACCACACUUUCACCUGCCAAACGAGAGAAAAAGUUGUAAGAGAAAUUGAUACACCAAUGUGGAAAACAGAUGAAGAGAGAGACUAGACUUGACUAGAUUCAUUAGCUUCAUAAAUACAUUUUAUAUAG